rnacentral:rRNA from 1 species
AGCCCAGAGCCUGAAUCAGUGUGUGUGUUAGUGGAAGCGUCUGGAAAGGCGCGCGAUACAGGGUGACAGCCCCGUACACAAAAAUGCACAUGCUGUGAGCUCGAUGAGUAGGGCGGGACACGUGGUAUCCUGUCUGAAUAUGGGGGGACCAUCCUCCAAGGCUAAAUACUCCUGACUGACCGAUAGUGAACCAGUACCGUGAGGGAAAGGCGAAAAGAACCCCGGCGAGGGGAGUGAAAAAGAACCUGAAACCGUGUACGUACAAGCAGUGGGAGCCUCUUUUAUGGGGUGACUGCGUACCUUUUGUAUAAUGGGUCAGCGACUUAUAUUCUGUAGCAAGGUUAACCGAAUAGGGGAGCCGAAGGGAAACCGAGUCUUAACUGGGCGUUAAGUUGCAGGGUAUAGACCCGAAACCCGGUGAUCUAGCCAUGGGCAGGUUGAAGGUUGGGUAACACUAACUGGAGGACCGAACCGACUAAUGUUGAAAAAUUAGCGGAUGACUUGUGGCUGGGGGUGAAAGGCCAAUCAAACCGGGAGAUAGCUGGUUCUCCCCGAAAGCUAUUUAGGUAGCGCCUCGUGAAUUCAUCUCCGGGGGUAGAGCACUGUUUCGGCAAGGGGGUCAUCCCGACUUACCAACCCGAUGCAAACUGCGAAUACCGGAGAAUGUUAUCACGGGAGACACACGGCGGGUGCUAACGUCCGUCGUGAAGAGGGAAACAACCCAGACCGCCAGCUAAGGUCCCAAAGUCAUGGUUAAGUGGGAAACGAUGUGGGAAGGCCCAGACAGCCAGGAUGUUGGCUUAGAAGCAGCCAUCAUUUAAAGAAAGCGUAAUAGCUCACUGGUCGAGUCGGCCUGCGCGGAAGAUGUAACGGGGCUAAACCAUGCACCGAAGCUGCGGCAGCGAC